GACGAACGCUGGCGGCGUGCUUAACACAUGCAAGUCGAACGGAAAGGCCCUGCUUUUGUGGGGUGCUCGAGUGGCGAACGGGUGAGUAACACGUGAGUAACCUGCCCUUGACUUUGGGAUAACUUCAGGAAACUGGGGCUAAUACCGGAUAGGAGCUCCUGCUGCAUGGUGGGGGUUGGAAAGUUUCGGCGGUUGGGGAUGGACUCGCGGCUUAUCAGCUUGUUGGUGGGGUAGUGGCUUACCAAGGCUUUGACGGGUAGCCGGCCUGAGAGGGUGACCGGCCACAUUGGGACUGAGAUACGGCCCAGACUCCUACGGGAGGCAGCAGUGGGGAAUAUUGCACAAUGGGCGGAAGCCUGAUUCAGCAACGCCGCGUGCGGGAUGACGGCCUUCGGGUUGUAAACCGCUUUCGCCUGUGACGAAGCGUGAGUGACGGUAAUGGGUAAAGAAGCACCGGCUAACUACGU
rnacentral:rRNA from 1 species